rnacentral:rRNA from 1 species
UACGGGGGGGGCAAGCGUUGUUCGGAAUUACUGGGCGUAAAGGGCUCGUAGGCGGCCAACUAAGUCGGAUGUGAAAUCCCCAAGCUUAACUUGGGAACUGCAUCCGAUACUGGAUGGCUUGAAUCCGGGAGAGGGAUGCAGAAUUCCAGGUGUAGCGGUGAAAUGCGUAGAUAUCUGGAGGAAUACCGGUGGCGAAGGCGGCAUCCUGGACCGGCAUUGACGCUGAGGAGCGAAAGCUAGGGGGGCAAACGGG